AAAGCGGAUGCUGCUCACGCGGCCGUUCUCCAAGGCCCCGGGUAAUUCGGCCUCCAGCGCCUCCAGCACCUCCAGAAUGUGGAUGUGGACAUAAGCCAGCUUCAACCAUGCUAAAGAUGAUGGAGCCACAAUACAGAGGGAACCUGGGUCCCUGAGUCAUCUGAUGGGAUGACAUGUCUCAUCCAAUCUGGAACACCUGCUUCCCAUUACACAGGAGAGAAAUAAACUGUCUCCUUAAUGCCA